rnacentral:rRNA from 1 species
GUGGGGAAUCUUCCGCAAUGGACGAAAGUCUGACGGAGCGACGCCGCGUGAGUGAAGAAGGCCUUCGGGUCGUAAAGCUCUGUCAUCAGGGACGAACGGCCGGUGGAGUGGAAAGCCACCGGAUUGACGGUACCUGAGAAGGAAGCCACGGCUAACUACGUGCCAGCAGCCGCGGUAAUACGGAGGUGGCAAGCGUUGUCCGGAAUUAUUGGGCGUAAAGCGCGCGCAGGUGGGAUCUUAAGUCCAUUUUGAAAGUUCGGAGCUCAACUCCGUGAUGGGAUGGAAACUGGGAUUCUUGAGUACCGGAGAGGAAAGCGGAAUUCCCCGUGUAGCGGUGAAAUGCGUAGAUAUGGGGAGGAACACCAGUGGCGAAGGCGGCUUUCUGGACGGUGUCUGACACUGAGGCGCGAAAGCUAGGGGAGCGAACGGGAUUAGAAACCCCAGUAGUCC